rnacentral:lncRNA from 1 species
AUCGAUAAUUGCCGGCGAUCCUAUUGUCCACCUUAACAAUGCUUGUCCAUCUGUGUGCAACUUUGAAAGAACCAGCGGAGAAGAGUGUAUCUAAUGUAGAGCUUAUGAGUGAUCUUAACUCUAAGAAUGAGUCCAGUAGGGAUGGAUCUCCUGAUCUAGUCCAUCAAGGGUCUGACCAAGGUCAGACCAACCAUUCCUCUCAUUAAGAGGUCUACACUCACACUAAAUGGACUGUCCAUUACCGUUAGUGUGAGUAUAAAUACAGUGGACCAGCUGGCAGGAGAUCAGUUUUGAUUAUUGUGCAACUAAAGGUAUUUCUCUCUUCUCUAUUAUUAUUUCUUCUUCUUCUUUUCUACUUUUGGCUAUUCUAGAUCUACUCUCUCUGCUUGCUUAUCGAUCUUGAUACUCCUGCAUUCUAGUUACCUGUGUGAAGAAGAUCAUUCUCUCUUCUUCACCCGAUCUCCUAUCUACUGUGUUGCUGCAUUAGGUGGUAUCAGAGCCUCGCGUGGACGGUAGAUUUCAGUAUUUUUUUUGGCAAGCAACAUGGCAGACAACAAUGUGAGUCGACAGGAGUGGGAGGCCACUCAAAAAGCCAUUGCGGAUCUGACAACCGCAAUGAGGGAGGGGUUUGCGGACCUGCAAAGAGCAAUACAACCACCGGAGCCACCAGAUCCAUAGCAGCCGGAGGUACCUAACAGAGUUCCAGUGGUUUAUCAGAGGAGAGCUCCAGAGGUGCCAUUUCAGACCUAUCAGAGGUGACCUCGAGAACAAAUGGUUCCCCAGAGACAGGAACGACGUUCGCCGGAAAGGGAGCAGCAAGUCUACCGUCGCCGGCCGGCCGAGAAUCCCACUGUCACAUAUCAACGUCAACUGGGGGGAGCCCUGGACCAGUUCGAGGAUAUGCUAGAAGAGGACUUGGACUUUGGAGAAGCUCCACAAAAUGCUGUAUAUCAAAGAAGACAGAGAUACCAAAGACAGAAGGGAACUGUCCGAUGAGAAUGAUUUUGAUGGGGGUCAAUAGAUGGGCUAUAGCAGAGGUCAGUACAAAUUGAGGUUGGAUAUCCCUACAUUUAGUGGAACUCUUCAUAUCGAAGAAUUCCUUGAGUGGAUAGCGGAAGUAGAACGUUUUUUUGAUUAUAUGGACAUCGACGAAGACCAACAAGUUAAGUUGGUAGUGUUGAGGUUUAAGGGGCUCGCUUCAGCAUGGUAGGACCAGACAGUGCAAAAUAGAAGGAAAUUCCAACAAAGACCAGUCCAAAGUUGGGAUAAACUUAAGAGACUACUCAAGCAAAGGUUCCUACCAAGUGACUUUGAGGGAAUUCUGUACACACAGUAUCACCAGUGCUGUCAAGGUAAUAGAAGUGUUGCUGAAUAUGCUAAAGAAUUUCAUAGGUUAUCAGCUAGGAACAACCUCAGUGAGACUGAAGAACAACUAAUUGCAAGAUUUGUUCAAGGUCACAAAGGCAAAUUUCAAGAGAAAUUUAUUUUGCAGCCUCAAUACACCCGAAUGGAAACUAUUAGAGUAGCUGAUCAGUUGGAUCAGAGGGCUGAGAAACUCAGUAAAUUCACAGUUGGAGCUUCAUCAAGCAGAAUGGUGCAACCUAGUGAUAAGGGAAUCCUACCUACACCUGAGGACAGAAGGAUAUCUACUGAAUUUGGGGCAGAAAAUAAAGGAUAUAGACCUGCAGAUCAAAGACUAGCAAAUAUUAAAUGCUACAGAUGCAAUGAGUGGGGACACAAGUCCAACACUUGUCCCAAGAGAGCGGGAACUCAUUUGCUGGACAGUAAAGGAAAAGAACCUAUGGAUAUAGAUGAAGAAGUCUCUGAAUUUCAAUUUGAAGAUGAAUGUCCACCGGAUGAAGGCCCUAGAAUGUCUGGAUUGGUUCACAGAAGUUGCCAUGCACCACACACAAAGGUUAGGUCACAAAGGAACAACCUGUUCAGAACAAGAGGGACUGUGAAAGGAAUAGUUUAUGACAUAAUCAUAGACAAUAGCAGUACGGAUAAUUUGAUAUCAUGGAAAGUAGUCAAAAGAUUGGGACUCCAUGUAGAAGACCACCCAAAGCCUUGCAGCGUAUCAUGUAUACAAAGUGGAGACAAUGUUAGUGUAAACAAGUGUUGUACAGUGCCUUUAUCUAUAGGAAGAAGGUACAAAGGGGAAGUCAUAUGUGAUAUAGUAAACAUGAAUGCUGCCCAUCUAUUGCUAGGAAGGCCUUGACAAUACGAUGUAUAUGGGAACCACAUUGGAAGAACAAACCAAUACAUCAUAAAGGUAGAUGACAUGAGGGUAGCAUUACUACCAAUAUCUGAAAAUGAAACAAAACAGGGUGACAAACCAAAUCUGUUGGUAGAGUCACAAAAAGAAUUCAAAAAAUCUUUGGGAAUUCAAGGGGAAGGGUUGGCAGUUUUGGUGAAAGAGGUACAAAUAAGAAAGUCUGCAUUCCAGCAAUAAUAAAAGACCUCCUGAAAAUGUUUUCUAGUGUGACUGAAGAAAAUGAGAAAAAAUUACCUGCUCACAGAAGCAUUGACCACAGAAUUGAUCUAAUCCCGGGGGCAGCACUUCCUAAUUUACCACAUUACAGAUUCAGCCCUGCUGAAACAGAAAUUCUGCAAAUACAGGUGGAGAAGUUACUACAAGAUGGACUGAUCAGAAAAUCAAUAAGCCCAUGUGCUGUUCCUGCUUUGCUGGUACCAAAAAAAAAAGGGGAUUGGAGAAUGUGUGUUGAUAGUAGAGCUAUCAACAAAAUUUCUAUCAAAUACAGAUUUCCUAUCCCAAGGCUAGAGGAACUUUUAGAUAUCUUAACAGGAGCUGAAUAUUUCACUAAGAUGGACCUGAAAAGUGGGUACCAUCAGAUCAGAAUUAGGGAGGGGGAUGAGUGGAAAACAGCAUUCAAGACAAGCAAGGGGUUAUAUGAGUGGUUAGUCAUGCCUUUUGGCAUGUCUAAUGCCCCCUCUACAUUUAUGAGGCUAAUGUCUGAAGUUCUAAAGCCUCUCAUCAAUGAGUGUGUUGUUGUCUACUUUGAUGACAUACUCAUAUUUAGCAAGAAAAAGGAGGAACAUCUGAAACAUAUUGAGAAAGUGUUACAAUUGCUGGAAACAAACAAUUUGAAGUUGAAUUUGGAAAAAUGCGAGUUCAUGGUCCAUGAGCUACCAUUUCUUGGCUAUAUAAUAGGCCAUCAGGGCCUAAAAGUGGAUCAAAAAAAGACUGAGGCAUUAAAUGAUUGGAUGACACCUUCAAACCUUACAGAGAUAAGAAGUUUUCUUGGUCUUGCCUUCUUCUACAGAAGGUUUAUAAGGAAUUUCAGUACCAUUGCAGCCCCCAUUACUGACUGUCUAAAGAAAGGUAAAUUUAGUUGGACAGUUGAGGCAGAAAAAGCAUUUCAGACAUUGAAAAAUAAGCUGCAAAAAGAACCAGUACUUGCCCUUCCAGAUUUCAGUAAAAUAUUCCAGAUUGAGUGUGAUGCAAGCAUUAUGGGGGUAGGGGCAGUUCUAAGUCAAGAUGGUCACCCCAUAGCAUUUCAUAGUGAAAAAUUAAGCUUGGGAAGAAGAAACUGGACCACAUAUGAACAAGAGUUAUAUGCAGUAGUAAGAGCAUGCAUGGUCUGAGAACCCUAUUUAUUACAAAAUGAAUUUGUAAUUCAGACUGACCACAUUACCCUAAAACAGGUUAAUAGCUCAAAAAACACAAAUAGGAUGCAUGCUAGGUGAAUAUCCUACUUGCAAAGGUUUCAUUUUACAUUGAAACAUAAACCAGGAAUCACUAAUAGGGUGGCUGAUGCCCUAAAUAGGAAAAGCACACUAUUAACAAUAUUGAGGGCUGAAGUGACUGAAUUUGAAAGAAUCAAGGAAUUGUAUGCAAAAGAUGAGGAUUUCAGCAGUAGUUGGGCAGCCUGCCAGAAUGGACAGAGUUUUCAAAAUUUCAACAUACAAGAGGGCUAUCUCAUGUACAAAAACAGAUUAUGUAUACCCAAAGACCCACUAAGAGAACAACUGAUUUACACUCUACACUCUGGAGGGUUAGCUGGUCAUUUGGGAAGGGAUAAAGUGGUAGCUGAUUUAAAAACAAUAUUUCAUUGGCCCAAGCUAAAAGAGCAAACAGAAAAGUAUAUUCAGAGCUGUCAAAUAUGUCAGGAGUCCAAGGGGACUAAACAAAAUACAGGGUUGUAUAUGCCUCUACCAGUCCCAAAAGAACCUUGGGUAGAUUUAUCAAUGGAUUUUAUCCUAGGACUACCCAAGACUAAAGUUGGAUUAGAUUCAAUUUUCGUGAUAGUGGAUAGGUUUUCCAAAAUGGCUCACUUCUUGCCAUGUAAGAAGUCCAAUGAUGCAGUACACACAACACAGAUAUUUUUUAAGGAAAUAGUCAGGCUACAUGGUGUUCCAAGAUCUAUAGUUUCUGAUAGGGACACAGUUUCUAUCCCACUUUUGGAAAACAUUGUGGGAAAGAUAUGGAACCAAACUGAAUUUCAGCACAACAUGCCACCCUCAAUCUGAUGGGCAGACAGAAGUUGUGAACAGAUCUAUGGGCAACUUACUUAGAACAUUGGUGGGACAGAAUUUAAAAAAAUGGGACCUAUGUAUUCCUCAGGCAGAAUUCGUAUUUAACAACAUGAUAAACAGAUCAACAGGAAUGAGUCCUUUUAUGGCAGCCUAUGGGCAUCAACCAAAGCAGGCUAUUGACAUAAAUGAUGUCCCUUCAAAUCAGCGAACUGUGGAGAAUUUAAUAGAGAAAAAUCAGGAAGUGUACAAAGCAGUGGAGAAAGCUUUAAAAGAAGCUAAUGAGAAGUACAAGGCUGAGGCUGAUAAAAAAAGAAGGAAGCAGGAAUUCUUAGUAGGAGAACUGGUAAUGGUACAUAUUAGCAAAGAAAGGUUUCCAACAGGAACUUAUUCUAAAUUAAAAGCAAGAAAUUAUGGGCCUUUCAAGAUCUUGAAGAAAAUCAAUGACAAUGCCUACAUAGUAGACUUGCCAAGCUCCUACAACAUAUCAAACAGUUUCAACAUUUCGGACAUAAGAAAGUACUUCCCUCAAGCAAAUUCUCUGAUUCAAUUGCGGACAAUUGAUCCUAAAGGAGGGGCAGAUAAUGUAGAGCUUAUGAGUGAUCUUAACUCUAAGAAUGAGUCCAGUAGGGAUGGAUCUCCUGAUCUAGUCCAUCAAGGGUCUGACCAAGGUCAGACCAACCAUUCCUCUCAUUAAGAGGUCUACACUCACACUAAAUGGACUGUCCAUUACCAUUAGUGUGAGUAUAAAUACAAUGGACCAGCUGGCAGGAGAUCAGUUUUGAUUAUUGUGCAACUAAAGGUAUUUCUCUCUUCUCUAUUAUUACUUCUUCUUCUUUUCUUCUUCUGGCUAUUCUAGAUCUACUCUCUCUGCUUGCUUAUCGAUCUUGAUACUCCUGCAUUCUAGUUACCUGUGUGAAGAAGAUCAUUCUCUCUUCUUCACCCGAUCUCCUAUCUACUGUGUUGCUGCAUUAGUAUCUGUCUUGGAUCAUUAGCUUUCUCACUAUCUCGAUAGGCCUUGCAAUCUGUUGUUUGUAUCUGAGAUUUCGCUCUGUCCAACAAGGGGAGUUUCUAGAAAAGUGCUCAAUUGCUUUUAUGAUGUGAUCUAUCCUCACAUCUGCAGCACCGGGGCGUGAGUUGAGGAUGGUCUGCAUUCCAUGGUAAUUCCAUGAAGGAGGUCCAGAGCUGUUGGUGCAUACAGUUUAGGAAAAUGUGCUCUGGGGUCUCAUCUUGUAUGGUGCAUAGAAGUAUAGAACACAUUGGUCCAGGCAUGGUACUCUCCACUGAGUCCACUUCCUAAUUGUUUCAUCACAGUGUUCAUAGUGUCAUCAUCAUUUUGGAAGAUUUGCAUGUCUAAAUUUCAUCGGCGAGGGGAUCCAUGGAUUAGGGCAGUCUGAUUGUAUUGAAUAUAUUGGUUGUGGAGACUGAUGUCCCUCUUCAUAUGAAAUUGUAAUUCCCAUUACAUUCAGCAAUCAGCAAAAAUAUGGAUUGGCUUCUUGAUUUUUAGGAUGUUACUCCAAGUAGUGGAUUGGGUCUAUUUUUGUCCAGAGGUCUAUUUUUUACAUAUCUAAGUCUGAUCCAAUCUGUCCAAAUAGACUGCUCAGAGGUCCAUAUCCGGAUUGCUCAUUUGAUUGAAGCCACAGCUGCCAUUUUUCUAAUGUCCUUCAAUUCUAGUUCCUCAGAAUCACACUAUUCAUACCUUCUGAAGUGAAUAGGGGUCUUAUAGGGGGUAGGGAUCUGAAGUUGGUGAUUUAGAAUUUGGUUGUCCAUGGGUAUGACAGGAUGGUCUGGUCCAGGUAUCCUGAAAAGAUCAGGUCCGUACGUGAUGACACCUAGACUCGACUAGUGACACACAUGUUGACAUCUUCUGGUGCUCCAAGUCCAAGUCAAAGGUUAGUCACCCAAAUAUUCAUUAAGUCGAUCAGUUCCUAAUCGGGCCUUGCCUUAAUUAUACUUAAUUACACACUCAUCUGUCUUCUGUGAGGGAUUUCCUUUCUUUAAAAAAAGUCAAAACUUGUGUAAUUUUAUUAUCUUAAAUCUUAAUUGUAAAAAUGGAUUCUUAAAUAAUAUUUUUGGAUCCUAUAGUAAAUUUGAUAUGUGAUCGGACAUAUUGUA